AUUGAACGCUGGCGGCAGGCCUAACACAUGCAAGUCGAGCGAGUGGCGGACGGGUGAGUAAUGUAUGGGGAUCUGCCCGAUAGAGGGGGAUAACUACUGGAAACGGUGGCUAAUACCGCAUACUAUCGGAUGAACCCAUAUGGGAUUAGCUAGUAGGUGGGGUAAAGGCUCACCUAGGCGACGAUCCCUAGCUGGUCUGAGAGGAUGAUCAGCAAAACUGGGACUGAGACACGGGCCAGACUCCUACGUGAGGCAGCAGUGGGGAAUAUGGCACAAUGGGCGAAAGCCUGAUGCAGCCAUGCCGCGUGUAUGAAGAAGGCCUUAGGGUUGUAAAGUACUUUCAGCGGGGAGGCGUUACCCGCAGAAGAAGCACCGGCUAACUCCGUGCCAGCAGCCGCGGUAAUAC
rnacentral:rRNA from 1 species